rnacentral:rRNA from 1 species
GACGAACGCUGGCGGCGUGCUUAACACAUGCAAGUCGAACGGAAAGGCCCUGCUUUUGUGGGGUGCUCGAGUGGCGAACGGGUGAGUAACACGUGAGUAACCUGCCCUUGACUUUGGGAUAACUUCAGGAAACUGGGGCUAAUACAGGAUAGGAGCUCCUGCUGCAUGGUGGGGGUUGGAAAGUUUCGGCGGUUGGGGAUGGACUCGCGGCUUAUCAGCUUGUUGGUGGGGUAGUGGCUUACCAAGGCUUUGACGGGUAGCCGGCCUGAGAGGGUGACCGGCCACAUGGGGACUGAGAUACGGCCCAGACUCCUACGGGAGGCAGCAGGGGGGAAUAUUGCACAAUGGGCGGAAGCCUGAGGCAGCAACGCCGCGUGCGGGAUGACGUCCUUCGGGUUGUAAACCGCUUUCGCCUGUGACGAAGCGUGAGUGACGGUAAUGGGUAAAGAAGCACCGGCUAACUACGUG